rnacentral:misc_RNA from 1 species
GUAUUUGUCGGUCACAGGCCAGUGUUGCUGACCAGUGAUGCUGACGUCAUUCAAGAAGUGUGUGUGAAGAAGUUCCAAUGUUUCCGGAACAGAGCGAGUAUCUUAAACCUGGGUUGUACUCUAGAGGCCGCAGUUGCUUUGGCCAAAGAUGAGAAGUGGGAAUUCCUCCGCCGAAGGUUAGCGCCACUGUUCUCACCCUCCAAACUCCAAACGUCGGGCGUUUUAGCUAUUGUGAAUGAGAGCGCCGCAGAAUUAGCAGAUUAUAUUCAGGAACUAAGUGCGCCCGAGAAAAAAGACUUUGAUUUUUAUACGGCAUGUGCAUAUUUUUCCAUGGACGUAUUGUGCUCAUCACUAUUUGGGCACCACGUGACAAGUCAUAAAAACCCAGGAGAGGAUUUUGUCAAAAAAGUUCUUGAAGCGUUCGAAGCUGGAAAUAAAACAAUCAUUAAACCUGUUACGUUAUGUGCAAUACUUCCCGCAUUGCGCCAUUGGUUCUGGUAUCGAAAUUUCAACCCAAUUUCCAAGAAGACGCGCGAGUUCUUUGAUUGUCACAUGAUUGCGGAGAUAGAAAGGAGGGGCACCGUUGAGAACAGAUGCAAGGAUCUUUUGCAAAGCAUGCUUGAGGCUGACGGCAAUUCAAACACUACUGGGGACCGGAACGGGAAAUGUCUAGAUCUAAGCCUUUCCGAGCUUACGGCUAAUAGUUUAUUUUUCGUCUUGUCCGGAUACGAAACAGUGGCUAAUGCGUUGGCGCUGACAGUUUUAUGUCUAGCAGAACAUCCUGAGUGCCAAAAGAAAUUGACGGGCGAAAUUAGAGCAGGUUUAGAGACAAGGAACUCUACACCACAGAAAGACACUCUGACAAAUUACGAAAAUAUACAGAAAUUGAAAUAUCUAGAUCAAUGUGUUAAUGAAAGUCUUCGGCUGUUUCCACCAUUUCUGAGGUUUAAUAGAAGCACGAAUAAGGAAAGCUUGAUUAACGGAAUAACGAUCCCGAAGGGUCUUGACGUCGCUGUGUCUGUGUAUGCUGUUCAUCACAACAGUAACGUCUGGGAUGAGCCAGAGAAGUUCGAUCCCGACAGAUUUUCGGAGGAAAAGCUCACACCGUCUCAAAAAAGCCAUUUCCUACCCUUUGGACUUGGUCCAAGAGAUUGUUUCGGGAAGGAUUUUGCUCUAAUGGAGGUUAAAAUAGCGCUGGUUCAUUUGUUGCAGCGAUAUGAAGUUUCAACACUUCCUGAGACAGAAUAUCCACCAGUUCUGGAAAAAGGAAACUUUUCCAAGGCGGAAAAUGGAAUCAAGCUGAAAUUUUCAGAGCGUAAACAGUGACUGAAAAUGAAUUAUACACAGUUUCCAAUAGAAAAUGACAAAAAGUGAAACCGUUGUCAAGCUACAUGGAGGACAGUGUAGAUGUAAAGAGCUUGACGAAUGCACCAUAAUUAUGAUCAAAGAAAACCCAGUUGUUUGUGGUAUCUCUAUGGCUGUGAUAUAACGAUAUCAACACGUGUAUCAGAUGUCGGAUUUGGCAUGAAAAGGACAACUAAGUCAAUGGCCGGCACAAUGUUUUUCUUCUAUACGUACUUGUAGUGAUUCCGUUUCAUUAACCAUUUUGGAGCAAGUUCACGUACAAGUUAAUUGAAAACGUAGUCUCUUUCUUUCAUCUGCAUCAAAGGUCGAUCAAUACACACCAGAAAACUGCCAGUCUCCCACACCUUGAUGGACCAUAGUGCAUCGAUCUCUCGAAGCAUUUCGGUCAAAGAUGUUGAAGGCAAGAACGAAAGAAAACCAAUUUUAUUCAGCAAUAACACGAACAGAAUAUGGAAUGAGAACAAAUGGAAUAGAAUGUUAACAAUACAUGACAAAUAAUACAGUAGUUAUAUACAUGUACACUUAAAUUUAAUAGAUAAAUACAUGAAUUGGAGAACAACAUGGUUGCUAAAGCUAAUCUUUUGAUACACAAGAAAUGUUCAGCAUUGGACAAGAUAUUAUAUUGGUAUAUAUUCUAUUAGACACCUUCAAAAGGUUCACUAUUUUAUUACUAAGAACAUUGAAACACAAGUUUGCUUAUAAGCUAUAACUUGAACCAAUAAAAGGAUCUAUUCU